GGAAGAGGAGAAACUGUUGGGUUCGAUAUUGUUGCCGUCGUACAGAGUUACCGUGUGCAAACCCGAGGACAAAGUUAACAAAAAGUUCGCGUUCAAAGCGGAACACGCGAACAUGAGGACUUAUCACUUCGCAGCUGACAGUCGCGAAAGCAUGAAUCAAUGGGUGAACGCAUUGACUUUGGCGACUCUUCUUCAGGAUCCGAGUCCCGGUGCCGGGGAGGCAGCGGUGGUGAUCGAGAUAGCUGGCCAACAAGACGGCGAGCGCAGCGCUCGACCAAGCGUCUCCUCCAUCUCCUCGAUCCUAAAUCAGAGCGCCGACGACAGUGACUCCGGAUUUCACGGGUUUCAAUCACGGGACGAUCCCAGCCACGCUUCCAACAAUAACUCCAGCCCGAACAGCGUGAACACUGCCUCCUUCCCCAAUCUCAGCGGUAGCAACAGCAACAGCAACACCAACAAUGGCAACAGCAGCAGCAACAACAACAACAACAUCAACAACAAUAACAACAACGCCAUCAACAGCACGAUUACCAACACCGGGAACAACAACACGAGCGACGUGCAACCAAUGGUGAACGGUUGGAUUCAGCAGCAAACGCCGUACGGCGAGCCGAGCACGUCGCAGCAUCAACAACAGCCGCAAUAUGGCCAGCUGAUACCCACGUCUCAACAGUUGCAACAGAGUCACUUGUAUCAGCAACAUCAGGCGCUGCUUCAUCAACACCUGUCUCAACAUCAGAAUGCCAAUCAGCUGCAUCACAACAAACACGUGAUCCAACAGCCGCAGCCGCAGUCGCAUUUAAUCGCCGGUAACGUGCAAACUGUCCAGCCUAUGCCGAGAAAAUUCGGCCAGCCGAUAUACGCGAACGCGCCGCCGAAGCCGAGAAGGCUGGCCGACGGAUCGACCGAGUACUCGACCCCGUCGCCGGAUCCGGACUACCGGAAGUCGCCGGUGUCGCCGGACGUAACGGUGGCCAGCAAGAGCCCGAUGUCCGACUACGACAGAGGCAGCAUGAUCUACGGUACGAGGAUGACUCAGCCGUCGCAGCAGAGCCUGAGGACGGAUAAAUCCGGGUUGAAUUACGGGUACGGGCAGCAGGUGCAAACGGAGAGGCGCACGCCCGAUACGUACGGGCGUAGCGCGGCGAAACCGAGGUCCAGCGCUCGGGGGAACGGCGACUACGAGGAAGUUUAUGGGGCGCCUCAGCUAUAUCAAAGGCCAGCUGGACCAGUCGGCUAUACGAAAGGGUCGUCGCCGGCUCCUAUCCCGAUUCCGCUUUACGCGCAACAACAUCAGCAGUAUCAGCAGCAGAUCCAUUCUCCUGUCACGCCUUCCAAUAUGCCAAUAAUGAGGCAGCCGAGGGCGCAACCACCCCCGCGACCGCACAGCGCGGACUUCUUGGAGUACGAGGCGACGAGGAAGCCUCAGCAGCAGAUGCCACCGCAGUGCGAGGAAUCGCUGAAUCAACAGAGGCGUCCACAGAGGCCUAAAUCGAGUUUAGACAUAGUCACUCCGUCGGACGCCACCAACGAUGGAUAUUUCUAUUCCGAGGAAAGGUACGCGGCACAGAUGCGACAGUCGGCGGUUUAUCUCCACCAGACGCCUCAGCAUCAUCAGCAACAGAGGAAUCAAUCACUAUCCCGGGCGACAAUGCCGUCGAAAGUAACGGCGGCAAUCCGCGACAGAAGCGACGAAAGUAGAAUGGCGACGCUUCCGGAUGUUUCGUGCUCCGGGUUGAGGCGAGCGCAACGCGAGCACGUUCAUCAGCAACACGUGUUACCUCACCAAUCGCUUCAGAGGCACACCGAGAUGAACAGCAACGAGGCGAAGCUGAGGCGAUCGUUGCGGGAGAAGAGCUACGAGCCUAGCAGUCGAGAAAUGCUGAGUCACAUGGCCGAAGACGACCGGACGAUACCACGAAGAAUUCCACGAGAAUACGAGCCGUCGAUGGGAGGGUGGGGUGGCAGACCGACGAGUCACACGGGCCAGGCGACUAUUCACGUGGGCCAACCGUGUCACGUUCCUCACGCCGCCGGCAGACGAUGGAACGAGCAGCAACAGUUCUGCAGAUCGGCCUCUGCGCGGCUCCCGAGGACCAGGCAUCCGGCCGCGUUGGACCCCGACGACGAGGACUACGGGGAACGAUCAUCCGAGCAGGAUUCGCGGGAUGGUGAACGAAAGAUACAGCAGCGCGAGGAGUCGAUGAAGCGGCUGCUGGAAUGGAAGCAGCGGAUGCUGCAAUCGCCGCUAACCCGGAAGCCAUCGGCCUCGGCAAACAGAGGUCGACCGCAGAACGAGCUGUCCAGCUAUUACAAACAGCAGGCGCUGCUCGAGCUUGCUGCCCACGAGGCCUCCGUGGCGGAGGGUCGUCACUCGCGGCGAAGGGACGACGGUCAUCGGCCACACGUCCGCAGCAAGAGCACCGACGGCCGCAGAACUGUCGCCAACGUUUCACGAUACAACAGCUACUCCAGCGACGACGAAGAGCUGGGAGAUGUCCGGAGGAAGCGCACGCGUAGACCCUCGCAUGCAGGAAGGAGCCCCCGCCAGCACGGAGACAAUCGUUCGUCAGGAAAUCCGUCACAAGAUGCCAUGCCUGCGACCAUCCGCCAUAUCCAGAAAACUGUUCGAGCCUCGAACGACCGACAAACCAACAGCCCCACUGCUUCCGUUCUACCGAAUCUGGGCGGAAUACCUCCGGACGCUGGCUACGAGGAGGUCAGCUUUCCCUCUGCAACGAGAACCGAUCGUUCUCCUUCGUAUGUCACCUCUGAACAGAAAUCCACUGCCAGAACCGAUCAGCAAGAUCGCGAUCACUUCGACGAGGACAAGUUCAAGAAGAAACCGUCUGGGAUUUUAAAAACGUCCACGGUCUACGGUGUCGAGCAAGCUGGAAAGAGUUCGAAUGCCUCGACCGGAUACGCGACAGAGACUUGGCCGGCGCAGAAGACAGUUCAGUGGACCACUAAGAAGGAGCCGGACGAUUGGGACUCCAACAUCGACGAGAGCAAAGUUAUCAAGGAGUUUUCCUACCAGUACAUCAAACCGAAGGAAGAGCUAGAGUCGAAGAAAGAGGACAGGUCCCCUCCCGGCAAAUCAGAGACUAUGAACCUGGUACAGUGUAGGAUACGAUCGUUCGAGCUGAGCAUGGACGGUUCGAGUCCGGUGAAGGAAAUAUACGCUAUGCAGGAACCACUGAAAGUGUCUCCCCUUCAAGCGACCGAGGCGCACGUCUCCAAGCUGGACUGUUCGAAAAAGGCGUCGUCGAUAAUACGGAACUUUGCUCUGGGCGAGUCGGAUUCACAGGAUUCCAAAUGCAAGAACGUGAAAGACGGUCACGCGAAACAGGCAUCUACGGACAGCAACAAGUCGGUGAAGGAUCUGCUGGCGGAUUUCGAGAGGAAGUCUCAGCAUGUUCAAAGACAGGAAUACGGCAGGCACCAAGAGGCGAAACACCGUGGAGUGUUCAGCGACUCGGAGGCGUUGUUAUACGACACGGGUAGCGAUCUGGAUCAGCGCGACAGGAACGAGGACGGGCAAGACGAGAGGAUCAGGAAGGUGGACGAAGUUGUGCCUGAGCCCAUCGACGAUCGCAAGAUGUACACCGAUACGACGAAGAAGAAGGGCGAUGUUUCCUUCAGACGUAAGAAAAGAUCGUUCUCUAAGGAGAGCGAGAACGAUCCAACUAUCUCCACGGAGGAUCUAGGCAUUCUGUCGAAUCCCAGCUGCGCCAGAUUGAGCGUCACGGAAUCUCUGUUAACUCACGGCGAUCGCCUCUCGGGGGAAAGUGGAACCACGAGUCCCACCGUGAAGCAAGAGGAUAUCUGUCCCGAAGAGCACUACCUCCCUAUGACACCCAGAAAAGCCAUACUGGAUCCCAAUGACGACAGACCGAAUCCAAAGAUGAUGGAGAGCCUGUUCGCCAAUUUGGACCACGAGGAAAGUUCGUACGUGGAGAUGGCUCAGAAUGGCAUGACUCAUUCUCUUUUGGCGCCCGCCGACGAGAUCGCCCGCAAACACGAUUCCGGGGAUUACUCCACCUUGGACACGCCUCACUACGAAUUCGUCUGCGUUUCGGAUAAUAAAAUGGAGCCGGUGUACAUGGAGGUGAGUCAGUUGUCGGAAAAGGAGGAGCAAGACUGUGGAAACGUGUCUCUGAAGAAGAGGAGUCACGACGAUCCGGCACGCUCGAGAACUGAUCUCCCGGACAUUCUGACUGCGUUGAAGUCCGACAGUUCGGACGCCGACGACGAAUCUUCGAAGGACCUCGAUUCGAUCGAUGCGCCACGACACCCUAGGUUCAGCCUGUCUGAUACAUUCAGACCCGCUUCCUACUACUUGGGCGCUAGUCGGACCAUGAUCGCGGAGCUGCACGAUUCCUCAGACAGCGAGUUGGUGUCUCCUCCUCCGAUACCAACUUCUCCGCCGCCGUUGGACGACCUGGACUCUUUGGACAUGCAGGAGUCUUUGGAAAUCAAGAAAGUCUCGCCCCAGGUAGCGGUGACGAAGGACAACAGUUCGAGCAGGGACUCGCCGAAAUCGUGGAACAAGCCGAUGGGUCAGAUCGAGACCCACCGGCCUCCGUCGAGAUUUUCGGAUGCCACCAUCAGCUCCACCUUCAGAGACAGCCGAAUCUCUCUGGAGAGCGCUUCCGGAAGCGACUCGGUGGAGUUGAGGACACCGGAGGAAGAAGCGAGGCACAGACAACUGAAGACCAGACCAGUCAGCGAGAUGUGCGAAGUGCUCGAUAGUUUGGACGAGUUGGAGUCGCUCGGGAGCCGAUUCGACGGUGCUAGCAUCGAUUUGGAUCAGUACUUGGAGGAACUGCAGGCUCGCGACGCCUUCAACGUUGACUUGUACGCGAAAGAUCUCAGUUACAACAGCAUCUACGGAUUCAACGAGAACAUGAUGGUGGUAGACAAGCUUCAGAAGACCACCUGCCACGAUCUGUCGAGGCAGAUGAAUUUGGGCUUCGAAAAUCUCGAAGCCCAGUCUCUGAGGUACAACGGCGGUGCUGCGAACAAAAUGGGAUCGGCGAGUAGUUUGCCGUCUAUGAGAGUCUGCGACGCGCCACCUUCUCAUCAGCAUUCGCAAUCCUUCACCGGCGACGCUCACUACGAAAAUAUCUCGAGCUUCUCUCCGCUGAGAAAUUCGCCGGCGAUUCGAUCGGACAACGACCAGUCGCGAGACAACUCGCACAGGCUUCCGAGAGGUUCUCAAAACAAUCUGCUCGCAGCGUCUCAUAGUAGGGACUCGAGUUACUCUUUGGCAUCUGGAGCUGCAUCGAUCUCAACCUCCAUGGCUUGCCAGAGACCCGCCAGCGCGCAGUCUUCCAUACACUCGCCAACAGGCUCGAUGUCUUUAGGAAAUCACGGGAACAGUUUGAUCGCCAACAUGCUGCAGAACGCGUGUCCCUACUCUGAUCAACGGUUCCAAAGUCACUCGAGAUCGGCCAGUCAAGACUCCGCUAGAUAUUCGAUGAUAUCGAACCACAGAUCGUCGUCCAGCCAGGAUUCCAGUCACUACCCGACCUCUACAUCCACGGUAAAGACAAAUCCCGCGCCUCAGUCGUAUCUACCUGGCGAGCCACGUCCUCAGAGCGAGCAAUCGGCUGCUCCUUAUUAUUAUUCCGAUCUUCAGGGUAGCAUAAACGCCGUAGACGCCGAGUCGGCGAGGCCGAUAGGCCACACCUCGAGACUGCCCCAGCUGAACAAUCAAAGAGACGACGCGUCCGCGCUGAACAAGAGGAACAUAGGGCGUAUCGUGAACCCUAUUCCCAGGCAAAUUCCCAGACAGAUUCAGGUGGACGACAUAGACGAGGCUAGGAGAAUAGCGGCUGAACUCCGGAAGACUACUUGUCAACUUCUAAGCGACAACAAAGUGGGAUUAGUGGACAAAAAGAACUUUUACGAAGCGGACACCCUCAGAAGGGUGAAGUCCACCGAUCCCCUGCCUGAUGUCUCGCCGGCGGAGAUCAGUACGAGAAAUCUGUAUCCGCAUGGUCUCCGCGAUAAGUCAAACGAUCAGUCGAACAGCCGAGGUGCCUUCGAAAUGGCGGUUGGAACCCAAACGUGCCAUCGAAGAUCUCGAUCGUUGGAGGGCCUCCUGGACGACGUCGGCCUUCAGAAUCUAGUGGAGCAGAGAAACAGAUGCAAUCGCGUGGCGAUGAUUCAACCGAGCCGGGUGGAGGAAAUAUCGCAGAACAUGGGUGGCACAGGUACCAGUUCAACGUCGAGCAACUUCAACGUGGAGGAUCCUUGGGAACAGGACUCGCUGUGGAGAGAAAGUCUUCGACGAGUGAGUCUGAGAAACGCGAGGUCUUUGGAUAAUUUGGACAACCCUCCGCGACCAGUCGUGUCCAACUCAGACUCGAAGGGACGGAACAAGAUUACUCGCGGAGCCACGUACGUGAACGACAGUGUUAUCAUGCGGCGAGACAACUGCUCGGAGGAUUCUUCGGACAGGCCACGCGUGAAGCGUCGAGCCAACAAGGAACAACAGGAGUUGAACGAGGUUGUCGACGAUCUGACAUACGAAAGCCUUUCGAUGGAGCGGAUUCACGCGAGCGGCUACGUAUGGGACGCGCAGAACGAGGCUUACCGGAAAGCCACCGCCGAGGAUAGGGAUCAUUUUUUAGAGGAUGGCAACCUUCCCCCGAUACGCUCGGUCACGGAGACGACGCAGCAGGUAUCCGGGCCAGCAGCGUUCGAGCUCGACCGAGAGAAACUACGGCAAUGGGACCUGCUGUCGAGCGCCUGCUUGCUCCAGGAACAGCAGCGCGGCUCAAUGGCGGAAUCGGGGCGAGGGUUGCCAAUCGUGGAACGGCCUGGAGACGUUCUCGACGCAACGAAGAACGGUGCACGGCUGGUGAACAGUGGCGCUGGUACCAUGGUGAACACAAGCGCGACCAGUCGCGAUCGGGACGUGGUUUUGAAGGUGAUCGAGAAGAGCGUGCAGCAGAGUAUCUCGAUGAUGACGAUGACGACGGCGACAACGACAACGACAACGACGACAACGACGACGAUGGCGAGCAACAGGCAGGAGCUGAACGAGACCAAGGAGGCUUGUAACAGGGCUGCUGCAGGUGAGUGGCUCCUCAAGACAACCGGUGGUGUGUUCAGGAAGUGACUGUGACUCUGGCCGUGUUCCAAAGCCUCGACUCAACCGACACCGAGCUUUUCUUCUCGUCGAUCGGUCGAAAUUUUCAACGGACUCGUUCACUACCAAAUGUACCUGUGCGUUUCACGGUGGCCUGUAUAGCGUUCGUUGCCACGCCGAAUUUCCUCGUUCUUUUGGAACCCGUGCUUCGCGCGACGAUCGAUCGUGGAUCACCGAUCGGACACGUUCUGCUUCAGAAUGACGCGAUCUUGACUCGCCCGCGCAAGUCACUUUGUAUCUACUUUGAUAUAUUUAAUAAAUAAAUGUGACUGUUAAUAUUAUAAUAUAAAUUGACAUGUACUGAUAAAUAUUAAAUCACGAAUGUUAUAUAUCGACGCGUGAAGCAUGUUCGCGCCGAUGUUAAAGUGAUUUCCCGAUUUUUCCAUCGAGGGAGCUAGAAUUUUUCAAACCACGGAUUCUUCGUGCGGAUUUUUAUACUUUUGUGAAACGUGAGACCGAAGAUGUGGAACUCUCUUUCAUCUGCUACGUAUACUGCGCUAAAUAUUCUUCCUUGGGCAUUUUAUUUUAUUUUCCCACUGUGUACAUUCUUUCCUAAUAAACGCAGAAACGUAGCAGCCCGCAGUUUAUUUACGAAUUCGCUCAAGAGCCGAGACGAUCGGGAAAGGAGCGCGAGUUCACGCGUGGCCGAGCCAACUGAUGAAAAAUCGAACGCAACGUUCCUAUUUAUUUACAUUAUUGACGGCAAUUGCAGAACAACGAAUCGAACAAUUGUAAUUCACCUUUGCAAGUGAUUCGAAGCAUAACAGGUGUAACGACUGAAAACCAAACGAUCUCCACGGAGCCGAGUACAUUUCCAGGCCGGUGGCCACGCAAACGAGCAAAGCUUUCUCCAGGCACGCCUAUACUCGUUCCAGCCGAACGACCGAAUACGCGUUUUUCAAAUGAACCAUCACCUUUGCGUUACUUACAAUUAAUGUUGAUAAACAAGACCGCGUUCCAACUUGCAUCCCGAGAGACCGAGCUUUCUCCACUUUGUUCACGGGCGUAAAUUGCGUUACACUGUUGUUACGCAGUGUCGCGGCGGCGAAUGAAAAAGCUACGUUGAUCCAAUUUGGAAACAAACUUCGUCGACGAUAGUUGGACGAUCGUCGUUCAAAGCAGUGCGAGUUGGAACACGGCUUGACAGGGAUGUGUGUUGCGUGAGCUCUGAUGUAUGGUACCGUGUGUGAGCGCCUCUCGUUAGCUGACUUUUCCCGUCAAGGCAAAACUCCCCGAACGAAAUUACAAACACCCCGAGGAUUACGUUACGCGAAUUGUCGUUCGAUCGCUUUCGUCCUCGUCGCGAUAACGAGAAUGAAAUCGAUCAGAGCGGGUAACAAUUCGCGGCUGAGACGCAAAGGCUCGGAGAUUGAUAUUACCACCGUUAUUAAAACGUUUCAACCUGUAACACGUAUCGAGUCACGCUUGGUAUAUACAUAUACGGUACGGAUCAUAGUCUGAGUUCAAAAGGGAAAGAAAUAAAAAAAAAAUAGAAAGAAACAAAUUUCAUUUACUCAAAUUGAAAAUCGUACAAAUGCAAAUUGUACCUGACUACGGACAAAUUUAUACUUUCUGACAAAUUGAACCAUCGUAAUUGAAAAAGUAGGAAGAGAGUAAAGCAGCAGAAUUGUUUCAUCGAUUGUUUUAAAUAUCGCAGAGUAUACAUUUUGAAUAUAUUUCGUACGUUUUUCCUUUUGCGUGUUUAUACCGUGAAAUUUCUUGCAAAUGCAUAAAAAUCUGUAGUCUACAUAUACGCAAACGUUUCAAUAUUUUACAUCCGACACGGUGUAAUAAGAUUGAAGAGAAAAUUAUAGGGUAAAGAACAUGCGUUAUUUAAACGCAUGAAAGAGAAGUUUCGUAACAAGGAAAGCAUUGAACGAAUUAUCGAUAAGGUGAUGUGAGCUUUUCUUAAUAACGUUCAGGGUACAACGAUAAGAAUCCCCUUUGACGACGUGAGAUUGAUAUUCCAUAACACGAUAUUCCUCAUCGAUUUCGAUGCUACAAUUGCAGACGUGUCUAUUAAAAUUAAGUUUGACGAUUGUAUAUAUACACGUUUAGGUACUUUCACGAUUUUGUUCGUUUUUCAUUUUCGAAAUAUGCAGUUGUUAGUUUGUAGCGUGUAAGAGUGAUUGGAAAAGAUGAAAUUUUCUUCUUCGUUUCAAUGUAUUAUGUACAUUUCUGUGAUGUCGAGUCACUACAGCAUCGUCCAAUCUGUCUUCAACAAAAUGAUUCUUUGCGAAUCUUGAUCGUUGAUAAACUUGAAUUUGAUAAAUUAAAUAUAUAUUACGAUUCGUACUCGAUCAUGUUGGAAACACUAUGCAAAGAAAAUUAAAAAGAAAUUCGGCUACAGGUGGAAAUGAACCGAGAUGUCGCAGCACUGACAAUAUCAAUAAAAAUUGAAGAAAUAGAGAUCGUUAGGAGGCCAUGGUUACUUCAACACACCUUCCUUAGAAAUUGUUGCAACAACUUUGUAAUAAUAAACGGAGUGACGCAACGUCCUGGAAUUCCUGUGAGUAAUUUCCCCUAGAGUUUAAGAUGAGAUUCAUCGUUUAAUGAAUUCUGUCGAGACAACUCUGACAAUUGCAAAAAUUUACGAGUUACGAGCUGUUCAAGCCCGUACGAUUCUGUCGCAGAGAAAACGAUGAACUUUUGGUAAAUUGAAGGAUUGAAAAAUCGUCGAAGUUUUGACCUUCAACUGCCUAGUUUUCUACGUAGUUGGGAUUCUUAAUUUGGAAUUCUAAGAUUCUGUUAUGGUUUGCUAUAAAAUAUAUGAUUGUGCAAGGCUUCGCUGUGGAUUGUUCCCAUAAAUAAAAUAUUGCAAUAUUAUUGUGAAAUAUUGUAAUUAUUAUAAUGUAUAAUACAUAAUAUUUAUAGUGUUACGAUAUUACGAUUAUAAAUACUGCAAUAUAAUAUUAGUUUGGAGUAGAGAGGCUAAGUAAUAAAUGCAGCAA